UACGUAGGGUGCAAGCGUUGUCCGGAAUUAUUGGGCGUAAAGAGCUCGUAGGCGGUCUGUCGCGUCUGCUGUGAAAACUCAGGGCUUAACCCUGAGCUUGCAGUGGGUACGGGCAGACUAGAGUGCGGUAGGGGAGACUGGAAUUCCUGGUGUAGCGGUGAAAUGCGCAGAUAUCAGGAGGAACACCGGUGGCGAAGGCGGGUCUCUGGGCCGUAACUGACGCUGGAGGAGCGGAAAAGCAUGGGGAGCGAACAGG
rnacentral:rRNA from 1 species